rnacentral:rRNA from 1 species
AUGGCUGCCUCCGCCGCCGACGCCACCGCCCCCCCGCCGGAGACGCCGCUCACAGCGCCGCGCGGCCGCGGAAACGACGGCGUGGGUGGGAGGGUGGAGGAGCUGUGCUGCGUCUGCCGCCUCCCCGCCGAUCCGGUCCGCAAGCUGGCCCCCGUGAGCGACGGCAAUUUCGUCCACUACGACUGCCGCUGCGAGGUAUCUCCAUCCUUUCCCCCUCCCUCGCCUCCUCCACUUGCUAGGGUUUCCAGCAGCGGCCGUGCAGCGUGGCAUGGAUCCUCCUCCGCCUGGGCUCUGUUCCGCCAGAUCCAUCUCGUUCACUACCGAUUUCAGUCGGAUCUGGAUUCCAGCUGA